CAAAAUGAAUGAAUAUAAAUGGAAAGAGUCAAUCCCCCAUUGAUUGAAUAGAAGAUCUCAAUUUUGUGUGUGUUUGUUGUUUUGUUUUUAUUCUUCUUUGUUU
rnacentral:ribozyme from 1 species